rnacentral:rRNA from 1 species
UACGAAGGGGGCUAGCGUUGCUCGGAAUCACUGGGCGUAAAGCGCACGUAGGCGGCUUUCUAAGUCAGGGGUGAAAUCCUGGAGCUCAACUCCAGAACUGCCUUUGAUACUGGAGAGCUUGAGUCCGGGAGAGGUGAGUGGAACUCGAGAGUGUAGGAGUGAAAUUCGUAGAUAUUCGCAAGAACACCAGUGGCGAAGGCGGCUCACUGGCCCGGUACUGACGCUGAGGUGCGAAAGCGUGGGGAGCAAACAGG